rnacentral:rRNA from 1 species
AGCCUGAACGCUGGCGGCGUGGCUAAGACAUGCAAGUCGCACGGACGUAGCAAUACGUCAGUGGCGGACGGGUGAGUAAUGUAUCGCUAAUGUACCCUUCACUCCGGGAUAGCUGCGGGAAACUGCAGGUAAUACCAGAUGACAUAACCGAACCGCAUGGUUUGGUUCUCAAAGGAGCAAUACGGUGAGGGAGCAGGCGAUAUCGUAUCAGCUAGUUGGUGAGGUAACGGCUCACCAAGGCGACGACGCGUAGCUGGUCUGAGAGGACGACCAGCCACAUUGGGACUGAGACACUGCCCAGACUCCGUACGGGGGCUGCAGUAACGAAUCUUCGCAAUGCACGCAAGUGUGACGGAGCGACGCCGCGUGGAGGUUAAGUCCUUGGAUGUAACUCCUGUCGACGGGUUACAAGAUCUGAGGACGCCCAGAGGAAGGCGACGCUAACUCGUGCCGCACGCAGCCGACGUAAUCGUGACGCGG